rnacentral:lncRNA from 1 species
CUGGGGUUGCUGGCCUCUUCACUGCAUGCUAUUUUGACCAGAUCCUGCUUUUAUCAAGGUGUUGGUGACCAGAAAAAGACUCCUAUGGGCCUCCUACCUCGUCCUCAUGCAAAUGCCAGCACCACACUCUUGGACUUCUCAGCCUCCAGAACUGAUGACCCUUGACAGAUGCUGGCACCAUGCUCUUGGAUCUCUCAGCUUCCAUAACUGUGAGCCUAAUAAGUGUUUGUACUUUGUAAAUUACCUAGUCUGUGGCAUUCUGUUAUAGCAGCAAAAAAAACAGGCUAAAACAACACUUUAAGAAUUUUUUUUCUAAUAAUAAUU